GACGUAGGGCGCGAGCGUUGUCCGGAUUUAUUGGGCGUAAAGAGCUCGUAGGCGGCUUGUCGCGUCGACUGUGAAAACCCGCGGCUCAACCGUGUGGUCUGCAGUCGAUACGGGCAGGCGUAGGAGUUCGGUAGGGGAGACUGGAAUUCCUGGUGUAGCGGUGAAAUGCGCAGAUAUCAGGAAGAACACCCGUGGCGAAGGCGGUUCUCUGGGACGGUACUGACGCUGGAGGAGCGAAAGCGUGGGGAGCGAACAGG
rnacentral:rRNA from 1 species